UACAGAGGGUGCGAGCGUUAAUCGGAAUUACUGGGCGUAAAGCGUGCGUAGACGGUUAUCUAAGUCGGAUGUGAAAGCCCCGGGCUCAACCUGGGAAUUGCAUUCGAGACAGAAUAGCUAGGGUACGGUAGAGGGAAGUGGAAUUUCCGGUGUAGCGGUGAAAUGCGUAGAUAUCGGAAGGAACAUCAGUGGCGAAAGCGACUUCCUGGACCAGUACCGACGUUCAGGCACGAAAGCGUGGGGAGCAAACAGG
rnacentral:rRNA from 1 species